UAAUCAAGUUUCGUCAGCUGACUGGACUGUC
rnacentral:piRNA from 1 species